GUGCUUGCUUUGGCAGCACAUGUAUGAAAAUUGGAAUGAUACAGAGAAGAUUAGCAUGGUCUCUGCACAAGGAUGACAUGUAAAUACAUGAGGCGUUCCAUAUUAAA